rnacentral:rRNA from 1 species
UACGUAGGGUGCGAGCGUUAAUCGGAAUUACUGGGCGUAAAGUGUGCGCAGGCGGCAGAGCAAGUCGAGUGUGAAAGCCCCGGGCUUAACUUGGGAAUUGCGCUCGAAACUACUUUGCUGGAGUGUGGCAGGGGAAGGUGGAAUUCCACGUGUAGCGGUGAAAUGCGUAGAGAUGUGGAGGAACACCAAUGGCGAAGGCAGCCUUCUGGGCCAACACUGACGCUCAUGCACGAAAGCGUGGGGAGCAAACAGG